UUGCCUUCAAUUACAAAUCCAAUUAUGGAUGAUGACACAACAUUAGUCCAUCCUGAUGGUACUUUGAUUGACAUAGAAGAGGAAGAAGAUGAUGAUGAUGAUGAUGAUGAUGAAUUAGCUGAAGAUGAUGAGUUGUCCGAGCAAGAAGAUAAUGAUAAUUCGAGUGAUUCGGAUUAGGACGAUGCUGAUUAGGGUCAGAAUUAUUUACAUUUAAAUUAGAAUGUGGCAAUUUAAAUUUUGUUUUAUAAGUUUAAUUUUAUCAAUUUAAAUUUUUUAUACAAUGUAUUUACUUAUGCAUUUCUAUAUUUACUUUUAGAUGGCUAAUAGAGGACGAAGUGGAGCUGCAGUUAGUCGGGGGACUGAGCCUCUACAUUCAUCAUCAUCAGAGGGUGGUGGCAUUAGCGCAUCGGUGGGAGAUUUAUCAUUAGGUGGAGAAGAGGCUGGCUCAAGUAGCGAGGCAUCACUAUCUAGGGCUGGGAUGAAGGAGCUGACGAUCGUUAGGGGGUAUGUUAUCUAUUGUAUUUAAAUUUUUACAUGUAUUUCAACAUAUUAACCAUCAUAAUGUCAAUUGUAGGAUAUUAUGUCCCUCACAUGAUGUCUCUCAUGUGAUUACUGAGUCAUUCCAGCGAGUAAUGAAUCAGCAUGGCUUCUGUUGGAAAUUAGUGUCGGAUGAACAGAAGAAAGAGUAUUUCAAAGACUUUAAGGUAAAAAAUGAAUAUGAAACUAAUGAUGUUUAAAUGAUGUUUGAAAACUAAUGAUGUUUAAAUGAUGAAUUUUUUUGUAGAAAUUCUUCUACUGGACAGGAUUGAGUGAAGAUGUUGUGUACAAACAUUGGUACACGAGGGCAAGAGAUAGAUAUAAAGAUCUUAUUCAUAAGAUCAAGAGGUGCCGAAACAACGAGCAUCCACCUCCAUUCAUUCCUGGAAGAGAUUGGUCAAGUUGGAAAGAGUAUUGGGGUCGGGAUGAUGUGAAAGAAAAAGCAGAAAAGGCGCGAAGGAAUAGGAUGUCUGAACCAGAUGGAGUUGGAACAGGGAUCAUAAAGCAUAGAGGUGGCUCAAGAUGUGCUU
rnacentral:lncRNA from 1 species